UGCAGCGUCACGUGUUUCUUGCCGGAGGUAGAGCUACUGGAUGGCCGAUGGGCCCUCACAGGUUACUGACGUCAGCCAAACUCCGAAUGCCGGUAAGUGAGAACGUGGCAGUGAGACUGCGGGGGAUAAGCUUCGUAGUCGAGAGGGAAACAGCCCAGAUCGCCGGCUAAGGCCCCUAAGCGUGUACUAAGUGGAAAAGGAUGUCCGGUCGCGAAGACAACCAGGAGGUUGGCUUAGAAGCAGCCACCCUUGAAAGAGUGCGUAAUAGCUCACUGGUCUAGUGGCUGGGCGCCGACAAUUUAGCGGGGCUCAAGUACACCGCCGAAGCCGCGGCACUCACAUCUUUGGUGUGGGUGGGUAGGGGAGCGUCGUGCAGCCGUAGAAGCAGCAGGGUGACCUAGUUGUGGAGGCUGUGCGAGUGAGAAUGCAGGCAUGAGUAGCGAAUGACACGUGAGAAACGUGUCCUCCGGAUGACCAAGGGUUCCUGGGCUAGGUUAAUCCUCCCAGGGUGAGUCGGGACCUAAGGCGAGGCCGACAGGCGUAGUCGAUGGACAACGGGUUGAUAUUCCCGUACCCGUGUCAGAUCGCCCCUGAUGAAUCAGUUGUACUAACCGUCCUGAAGCUUACGGAUCACCUUCGGGUGACAGUUGAGUGGAUGCACGGGACCUCGGCUGGUAGUAGUCAAGCGAUGGGGUGACGCAGGAAGGUAGUGGGGCCAGUCAGUGGUUGUACUGGUGUAAGCCUGUAGGGCGAGAUCUAGGCAAAUCCGGAUCUCACAUAGCCUGAGAGGUGAUGCGUAGCCGUUGCGGUGAAUUCCAUGAUCCUAUGCUGCCGAGAAAAGCCUCUAGCGAGAUCUGAUGUGGCCCGUACCCCAAACCAACACAGGUGGUCAGGUAGAGAAUACCAAGGAGAUCGAGAGAACUGUGGUUAAGGAACUCGGCAAAAUGCCCCCGUAACUUCGGGAGAAGGGGGACCUCGCAUUGUGACCGGAUUUACUCCGUGAGCGGUGUGGGGUCGCAGAGACCAGAGAGAAGCGACUGUUUACUAAAAACACAGGUCCAUGCGAAGUCGUAAGACGAUGUAUAUGGACUGACGCCUGCCCGGUGCUGGAAGGUUAAGAGGACCGGUUAGCCGUAAGGCGAAGCUGAGAAUUUAAGCCCCAGUAAACGGCGGUGGUAACUAUAACCAUCCUAAGGUAGCGAAAUUCCUUGUCGGGUAAGUUCCGACCUGCACGAAUGGCGUAACGACUUCUCUGCUGUCUCAACCACAGACUCGGCGAAAUUGCAGUACGAGUAAAGAUGCUCGUUACGCGCGGCAGGACGAAAAGACCCCGGGACCUUCACUAUAGCUUGGUAUUGGUGUUCGGUUCGGUUUGUGUAGGAUAGGUGGGAGACUGUGAAGCGGGCACGCCAGUGUUCGUGGAGUCGUUGUUGAAAUACCACUCUGAUCGUAUUGGAUACCUCAACCUCGGACCAUGAUCUGGUUCAGGGACAGUGCCUGGUGGGUAGUUUAACUGGGGCGGUUGCCUCCCAAAAUGUAACGGAGGCGCCCAAAGGUUCCCUCAGCCUGGUUGGCAAUCAGGUGUUGAGUGCAAGUGCACAAGGGAGCUUGACUGUGAGACUGACAGGUCGAGCAGGGAC
rnacentral:rRNA from 1 species